rnacentral:lncRNA from 10 species
CCCACAAUAGGCCGUCUGAAAGCUGAGGAGCAAGGAAACCAGUCGGAGUCCCAAAACCUCAAAAGUAGGGAAGCCAACAAUGUAGUCUUCGGUGUGUGGUCAAAGGCCCAAGAGCUGCUGGCAAAUCACUGGUGUUAAGUCCAAGAGUCCAAAAGCUGAAGAACUUGCAGUCUGAUGUUCAGGGGAGGAAGCAUCCAGCACUGAAGAAAGAUGAUGAUUGGAAGACUCAGCAAGUCAGCUUUAUUCUACUGGAGCUGGCAAUUGAUUAGAUAGUCCCCACCCACAUUAGGGUGGGUCUUCCUCUCCCAGUCCACUGACUCAGAUGUUAAUCUCCUUUGGCAACACCCUCACAGACACACCCAGGAACAAUACUUUGCAUCCUUAAAUCUAAUCAAUCUGACAGUAUUAACCAUCAAAAACACUCACGUGAGAAUAAAAGAAAAAGUUGGCAGUGUGCAACCAGAAGAGGGCCCUCACCAGAACCCAACCAUGCUGGGUCCCUGAUCUCAGACUUCCAGCCUCCAGAACGGUG